ensembl:lncRNA
GGUUAUAAGCGCAAACACGCCGGUUCCUGGAUGGCUCUUUUAAGCCGGCCCCGGCCCCGCUGCUGAGCCGUCCCUCUUCCCCCGGGGGGUAGAGCCCUCCCCCCGGCCCCCCCCUUCCCAAAGACGCCGGGAGCUGCUUUCUGCCCCCUCCCCGCGCUGCCCGAAGCCAGCCCGGCUCCUGCCGCCACCCCGCUCCUUCGCACCUCCCAGCCCGCCCCGCCUCGGGCAGCCGGCAACUUCCCCGGCAGCCCGGGCUGCUCUUUAACAAGCUCGCCCUCUAUAAAUCGCUCGGUAGCUAAGACGCUAUAAAAAACAAAUAGCCAGAUGUGGCACGUUAUUUAUGUGUGAAAGCUCGUUUACAUUAGAUAUGCUGAUCCAAGCUUUGAUAGCGGGGGUUUGCCAGAGAUUAGAGUUGGGUUUCCAUAGACAACUCCAGCUGCAGCCCCCCUCCCCUGCCCCUCUUUGGUUUUCUUUUUCUUUUAGCAUAAAUUUUAUUUAUUUGUGCCUUUUUUUUUUUUUAAUAGGAUGGGUGAAGAAAAGCCAGUGGAGCCAGUGGUGCCAUCUGACUUUCCUGAAGCUGUGGAAAAAGAGUGAUACCAGUUUGACAGAGGAUCCUCCAAAAGUACAAGCAAACCUUUUUGGAGGCUUUUUGGUUUCCUGAUGCAUGUGGCUGAGCACUGCACCAGAACUGCUGCCAGCCAGUGUUCUGAGCAUCCCGGCUGGCUCCAUGCGUCAGCCAGAGCUGUGGUCAUCUGUGCUGCACCCAGCUCCUGGGGCGUGGGUUCCCAGUGGGUACUGCUGUCCUUUGCACUUAACCAUGUGAUUUGAGUCUUUAUUGGUGAGUAAAACCUGCCUGGGGGGCUUAUUGGGUGGUGUGUUUCACAGGUGAGGAGACUUUUCGAAUAUUGAUUUGUUUGUAGGGCCACCAGGAAUUGUUGCUUCAGGAACAAAAAGGUGGAAGGGAGGAGGUCAGGAUACCUCUCUGUGUGGGUUUGUUCCCUUUUCCUUAAACAGCCCCAAUAAUCACAAUGGCUUUGUUGGAGGAGGCUGGGCUGUCAAAUUGUGUGGAUGCAUUGGGAAGAGCUCCCAGACACAGUACAACUGCAGGGAGACAAAGGGUGCAGAUGGCUGCUGCCCCCAUCCACCCCCUUUGCCCUCCCCUACUGCACCCAAUACAAUACCCUGCCCAUCUUGAGGAGGUGAGGGCAGGAAGCCCUGCUCCCCCAGAUAUGCUGGUCAUGUCCCAAAGAGGCAGGGGCCCUGUGGCUGCUGCUGCUUACUUUGAACCAGUUCAGGCCACCAUGCCCCCGCUAACACCCCCUUCCUGUGUUUCCUGUGUGUGAUCCCUGGUGCUUCGGGAAGCAAGGUCGGGGGGGGGUGUGUGUGUGAAGCAGUUGGGCAGAGCACCAGCAUGACAUGCACCAGCAUGACGUGCAGGAUGGGGCUGUGCUCCUGGUCCUGAUUCAGAGUCAUGCUGGCCGCUGGGGCUGGGUCCCCAGGUCCCAGGACAGAUCUUGUGGGUCAAAGGGAAAUAUUAAGGGCUGGCCCCUGGACCUGGGGAACUCAGUGUUGAUCGGGUAGGGUGAAUAUAGCUGGGGUUUCCCUGCAGGGGUGUAUUUCCACUUUUCAUCUACAUGCACCCACUCCUUUUUGCAGACGUG